rnacentral:rRNA from 1 species
UACGGAGGGUGCACGCGUUAUCCGGAUUCACUGGGUUUAAAGGGUGCGUAGGAGGGCAGGGAAGUCAGUGGUGAAAUCUCCGGGCUUAACUCGGAAACUGCCGUUGAUACUCUCUGUCUUGAAUACCGUGGAGGUGAGCGGAAUAUGUCAUGUAGCGGUGAAAUGCUUAGAUAUGACAUAGAACACCAAUUGCGAAGGCAGCUCGCUACACGAAUAUUGACUCUGAGGCACGAAAGCGUGGGGAUCAAACAGG